GAUGAACGCUGGCGGCGUGCCUAAUACAUGCAAGUCGAGCGAAUGGAUUAAGAGCUUGCUCUUAUGAAGUUAGCGGCGGACGGGUGAGUAACACGUGGGUAACCUGCCCAUAAGACUGGGAUAACUCCGGGAAACCGGGGCUAAUACCGGAUAACAUUUUGAACCGCAUGGUUCGAAAUUGAAAGUCGGCUUCGGCUGUCACUGAUGGAUGGACCCGCGACUCAUUGGCUAGGUGGUGGGGUAAUGGCUCACCAAGGCAACGAUGCGUAGCCGACCUGAGAGGGUGAUCGGCCACACUGGGACUGAGACACGGCCCAGACUCCUACGGGAGGCAGCAGUAGGGAAUCUUCCGCAAUGGACGAAAGUCUGACGGAGCAACGCCGCGUGAGUGAUGAAGGCUUUCGGGUCGUAAAACUCUGUUGUUAGGGAAGAACAAGUGCUAGUUGAAUAAGCUGACACCUUGACGGUACCUAACCAGAAAGCCACGGCUAACUACGUGCCAGCAGCCGCAGUAA
rnacentral:rRNA from 1 species